AGUGCACUAUAUACACACCAAUAUAUAUUGGUGUGUAUAUAGUGCACUAGUAUAUAUAUGUAUAUUUGCUGUUUUGUGUUUACUUCAUGUAACAGCCUACGUGCUAGCAUAGCACAUAUACGUUAGAAGACAACGCGUAGUGAUGGCAAAAGAGGAACAUUCUACGAUAGCAUAAGCGAUUGGAGCAUAAAACGAAUAUCGACCAGGUACCCCCCGCACCUCGCAUGGAGUCGGCGCUUGUGUGUACUUCAAAAAUCACCAUUAAAAGAUUCGACAUUACUGCUGUGAGGAACCUCUGCCAGGCACACCUCUUUUUGUACUUUGAUUUUUUCAGACAUUCAAUCAGACGACUGGCUCACAACACGAAAAAAGUACGCCUAUGCCUGGAUUCGAAUCGAGACUGCAAAGUGUUCCUAAAAUUAGCACUCCGCUACGCUACCCACGAAGCUAUGGCUGAGAGCAUGAGAAGUAAUUUUGUUGACUUCCGGUUAACGGGAAGCUGACCACGAAGUAAAUAACAGUUGAAUGCUGGUCAGUAAGGAAGCGGUAAAGCGACGGCAGAUGGUACAGCAGAUAUAGACUGAGACAGAAUUGGCCAAUCUGACGGACGUACUAGACCACGAGGAGAUGCGAGCGCUUACUCAAUCUAAAAACCGGAAAUGCGGCCGGAAGUGGACAAGCCUGAGGUCGGAGUGACGCAUCGUGGUAGACUCCCUUUAUGGUCAUCCUUCAAAAGGACCUCAGUUGCGAGUGCCUUAUACAAGACCAAUGCAGACUUCAGCGCUGUUGUGUGGCGAGCAGCACUACUGAGUCACCAAUCAAGCAGAAUCAUCUUUAGCAUAUUUACUGCUUCAUGAUAUAUGCGCCAUAAAGAUUGAAGAUUUGCCCAUUUUACGGUAAGAUAAGUGAUUCAAAAACAAAAUCGUCUCAGUGGGGUGAGAUCAAAUCGCAAUAGAGAUCAGGCGCAAUUCGCGCCGCCAGUCGAUCGCUGAAGAAUCCAUUUAUUCUGUAAAGGCGCACUCUGCAGGACACUGGCGUGGCUCCUGUGGGGCAACAGAUCUACACAUCCCUGACGGACUGCGUAUCUGAAUUGAUCAAAUGCCUCGAGAAGUGAGACACAAUGCUCAAGUGAUUCGCCUAUAUAGAAGACACCAUCAAUUCUCCUAUUUUCCUCGGAACUCGCACGGUAACAUUUAAUUGA